rnacentral:rRNA from 1 species
UAGCGAAAGCGAGUUUUAACUGAGCGUUCAGUUACUUGACGUAGACCCGAAACCGGGCGACCUACCCAUGAGCAGGAUGAAGCGAAAGUAAAAUUUCGUGGAGGUCCGAACCCACGAGCGUUGAAAAGCUCGGGGAUGACUUGUGGGUAGCGGUGAAAUUCCAAUCGAGCCCGGGGAUAGCUGGUUCUCCCCGAAAUAGCUUUAGGGCUAGCCUCAAGGUGAGAGAUACGGAGGUAGAGCACUGAAUGUCCUAGGGGGUAUUGCACCUACCGAAGACUAUCAAACUCCGAAUGCCGUCAUCUU